CCCGUCUCUGUAGCAAAAGAGUGGGAAGAUCUCCAGGUAGAAGUGACACACUUAUCGAGCUUGGUGAUAGCUGGUUGCCUAAGAAUUGGAUAAAAGUUCAGCCUCGUAACUCCUCCGCCCAAANAUCACUCACACAACACGANCCAGAGAAACUUACGAGAGUUAGUCAAAGGGGGUACAGCCCCUAUGACACAGGACACAACCUUCUCAGGUGGUUAAAGAUCAUAUACCCUAAAACA
rnacentral:rRNA from 1 species